AAGAGAUACCAUUUACAAUAACAAGAAAAAACACAAAAAUAACAAAGACCCAAAAGAAGAGAAACAGCAUAACCAUGAUUGGCAAUUUUCUAUGUAAAAAGAUGAAAAAUCAUUUUUAAUUUAAUCAAUAAAUCCUUUAACUAAAAAUCAGCUAAUGUUUGUCAGGUUUUAUUGUAUAUAUGGUAUGUUAUUGUAUUGUAUUUAUCAAGAAACCAAUAAAGCUAUCAUCCUUGAGUUGGGCCAGAUCCUGAGAGGAUUCUCUGACUGGUUCAGCCUCUUAUAUCAAGAAUUCUGUCACCCUGCUUUUAUGAUCCAGGUGAUCCAAUGAUGCUGCCUUGGCACUGAUAUGUUAUCUCUUUCCUGGCACCAAGCGAUGAUAUACAUGGAGUAAUUCUUUUUUUUUUUUUUUUUUUGAAAUGGAGUUUUACUCUUGUUGCCCAGGCUAGAGUGCAAUGGCUCCAUCUCGGCUCACCACAACCUCCACCACCUGGGUUCAAACGAUUCUCCUGCCUCACCCUCCCGAGCGGUCAGACCUAUGAUUACCUGUUCACAUGUAAUGUGAUAAAUAUUCUACAUCAAUGGAUAUAAUUUUAUUUCAGCAAUCCCUGUUUUAAACGGUCUAGAAUACAUCUUCAGUGGAGGUUUCAA
rnacentral:lncRNA from 10 species